UACAGAGGUCCCGAGCGUUGUUCGGAUUCACUGGGCGUAAAGGGUGCGUAGGUGGUGAGGUAAGUCGGAUGUGAAAUCUCCGGGCUCAACCCGGAAAUGGCAUUGGAAACUACCUUGCUGGAGGAUUUGAGGGGGGAUUGGAAUACUUGGUGUAGCAGUGAAAUGCGCAGAUAUCAGGAGGAACACCGGUGGCGAAGGCGGGUCUCUGGGCCGAUACUGACGCUGAGGAGCGAAAGCGUGGGGAGCGAACAGG
rnacentral:rRNA from 1 species